rnacentral:rRNA from 1 species
UACGGGGGGACAAGCGUUGUUCGGAAUUACUGGGCGUAAAGGGCUCGUAGGCGGCCAACUAAGUCAGACGUGAAAUCCCUCGGCUUAACCGGGGAACUGCGUCUGAUACUGGAUGGCUUGAGUUUGGGAGAGGGAUGCGGAAUUCCAGGUGUAGCGGUGAAAUGCGUAGAUAUCUGGAGGAACACCGGUGGCGAAGGCGGCAUCCUGGACCGACACUGACGCUGAGGAGCGAAAGCCAGGGGAGCGAACAGG